CUAUUGAUCCAAUGGUAGACGCAGUGGACUCAAAAUCCACCGAUCGCAAGGUUGUCCGAGUUCGAGUCUCGGGGGAGCCACCA
rnacentral:tRNA from 1 species